rnacentral:rRNA from 1 species
UACGUAGGGAGCAAGCGUUGUCCGGAAUCAUUGGGCGUAAAGCGCGCGUAGGUGGCCAUGUAAGUCCGCUGUGAAAGUCAAAGGCUCAACCUUUGAAAGCCGGUGGAUACUGCAUGGCUAGAGUACGGAAGAGGCGAGUGGAAUUCCUGGUGUAGCGGUGGAAUGCGCAGAUAUCAGGAGGAACACCAAUAGCGAAGGCAGCUCGCUGGGACGUUACUGACGCUGAGACGCGAAAGCGUGGGGAGCGAACAGG